UAGGGAAUCUUCGGNNNNUGGGGGCNACCCUGACCGAGCAACGCCGCGUGAGUGAAGAAGGUUUUCGGAUCGUAAAGCUCUGUUGUAAGUCAAGAACGAGUGUGAGAGUGGAAAGUUCACACUGUGACGGUAGCUUACCAGAAAGGGACGGCUAACUACGUGCCAGCAGCCGCGGUAAUACGUAGGUCCCGAGCGUUGUCCGGAUUUAUUGGGCGUAAAGCGAGCGCAGGCGGUUUGAUAAGUCUGAAGUUAAAGGCUGUGGCUCAACCAUAGUUCGCUUUGGAAACUGUCAAACUUGAGUGCAGAAGGGGAGAGNGGAAUUCCAUGUGUAGCGGUGAAAUGCGUAGAUAUAUGGAGGAACACCGGUGGCGAAAGCGGCUCUCUGGUCUGUAACUGACGCUGAGGCUCGAAAGCGUGGGGAGCGAACAGGAUUAGAUACCCUGGUAGUCCACGCCGUAAACGAUGAGUGCUAGGUGUUGGAUCCUUUCCGGGAUUCAGUGCCGCAGCUAACGCAUUUAAGCACUCCGCCUGGGGAGUACGACCGCAAGGUUGA
rnacentral:rRNA from 1 species